CGCACAAUCUACCCUGGAACGCUUCUGGGAGUGCCUGGCCCUGGAAGCUACACUGGGACCAGGAGACCCAGACGGGGCGGCAGAAGCAGCGGACCCGGAGGGCACGGCAGGGGGUGUGGUGGGCUGCAGAGCCGGCUGAUUGUCUACCAGGCGGCCUACAACAUGGGUGAGAUUUUCCACAGCCUGGGAUAGACACCUAGCCCAGUCGGGUGGACCAGAGGAAACUGGAGGCAGCACGGCGGGCGGCAGAUCCUGUAAUGGGGCCUGGCAUGCAGAGCAGUGCGGAUCAGACUGUCCCCGUGUAAAAAGUUCCUUACAGGAGGUACAGGCAUGGUACCAGGGUUUAGGGGCCCCAGUGGGAUCGGACAUGUUGAAAGGUGGGUGUAC